rnacentral:rRNA from 1 species
UACGUAGGGUGCGAGCGUUGUCCGGAAUUAUUGGGCGUAAAGAGCUUGUAGGCGGUUUGUCGCGUCUGCCGUGAAAAUUCGAGGCUCAACCUCCGAACUUGCGGUGGGUACGGGCAGACUAGAGUGUGGUAGGGGAGACUGGAAUUCCUGGUGUAGCGGUGAAAUGCGCAGAUAUCAGGAGGAACACCGAUGGCGAAGGCAGGUCUCUGGGCCACUACUGACGCUGAGAAGCGAAAGCAUGGGGAGCGAACAGG